rnacentral:snoRNA from 1 species
UUUAAAGAAAACUCUUCUGUAUGUAGAAUCCAUGCAGACUGUAUCUGUAAGGAUCAAAACAUCAUGAUUUCAGUUACUGUUCAAUGUUUUAUAGACCUGUGG